rnacentral:lncRNA from 1 species
CAUGAAACAUGAAUCACUUGGGAGGUUUGCAGUGGCCCGAUCCAGGCAGGAAACUGCAAGGAUUAGGUCCUGAUGGCUGAACGGGACUAUUACUUUGUGAAGAAUACAUGCUGCUUGCUCGGAAUUUUGGUUGCUUGGAGGUUGCAAUCACAAGAGUAACACCGGCAGCAAGAAUCAGAAACAAAACUAUGGUGGAUUUUGACACAAGAAAGAGAGGUCUCUUGAAGAUACUCAUCAUGGUUCUGAUUAGCUUUCAGUUCACAAGGAUAUGAAAUAGAUUGAGAGAGCAAUGCCCACGCAGCAGAGCCGUCCGUGAGGCUCAUUUAGUAGGCACCGGAAGAACUCAAAGUACGGUGGAUUGUGACACAAGAAAGAGAGGUCCCUUGAUGAAGUUAAGAAUCAUGGUUCCGACUAGAUUUCAGAGAAAGAUAUGAAAUAUCUUGAAAAUUGAAAAAAAGAAAGAACGAAAAUCCACAGGUGACGUGAGAGCAAGUAUAAAAUGCGGCGCCGGAAAUGAAAUAUCUUCAACAGAAAACCAUGUCACUAGAUUUUUCUUGUGUAAGAGACCCUUGGUAGGUAGAUAGUUGAAUUCUUCGACAGAAAACCUGUGGCUGUCAUUCAUGGACACGGGGGGCCCUGUAAAAACACACAGAACUUGUCUGUGGCUUUGAUUUUUCUGUGAAAAAAAGAUGUCUCUCUAGGCUAGUCUACCCUUUUUGUCUUUUUCGUUUUUUUUUAGUUUAACGUGGGUGUCCGGGCCAGCUUGCGCGCACCUCGACUAAUCCCACGGGUCCUGAAGUUAACGACCAUGUAAGCCUCCAGUGGCCAUCAUAUGAGCAACCACAGGGCUCGAACCUGAGACCAUAGAGGGAGCAAACCUCUUGAUCCCAAGCUCUUACCACUGGGCCACCACCUAGAUGGUUUACAAGAUGGAACAUAUUACUACGUGACUAGUUUCUUGUAAUUUUGUUUGGAAUAAAAUUGUAAUUUUUUUCUUGCUUCACGAAAAUCAUAUGUUCAAAACAAAAUAUUAAAUCAUACAAUUGAAUUCAAUUAUAUCAUUUCAAAUUAGUAAUCUUAAUUAUUUUAUCCUUAAUUCAAAAUUGCAUUGUACAUCUCUUCUCUUCCUAGUGAGUAAUUUGUUUAUAAAUAAUAUAUUACGUCCAACUCCCUCAUGGUGGCCUUCAAAGUUUUUUCCAAGUCUCGCCCUUAGCUUAUGUUACAUAUGACUCAAAGAUUAUUUGUUUAUAAUUUAUAUUUUUAUUAUUAUAUUAUUAAAUAAAAAAUAUUUUUUAAAAAACAAAGUAUUUAAAACUUAGUAGAGUCAAUAAUCCGAGUUACGAGUUUAGAUAAUCAAAAGGUUUCUCCCACACCCUCAUUUCACAUCCCUAGUUUUCAUCCUUCUUUAAUAAUGGAAAAAGAAAAGGGAAACAAAUACGAAUAAAAAUUAAAGAUGGGAUAUUUUGAAAAUUGAAAGAAAAGAAGAAUGAAAAUCCACAGGUAACGGGAGAGCAAGUAUAUAGUGCGGCACAACUUUGAGGGGUGUCCUUCAACUGAUCCAGUUGUAGGUUUACCUUUUAGAGGUCAUUGAUUUGAGUCUAACAAACUUCAGGGCCACUAGGGGCUUACAUGGUCGUUAACUUCAGGGUUCGUGAGAUUAGUCGAGGUACGCGCAAGCUGACCCGAACGCCUACGUUAAUUAAAAAAAAAUAUAAAAUGCGGCACAUGUGAAUGAAAUAAUGAGUUUUUAAAUGGUUUAAUAUAUAUUAAUAAUGCCAAAACUUAACUGAUAAAUUUAUAAUUUGUUAUAAUUUUUAUGUUUGGAAUAAAAAAUAUUAAUUUAAUUUAAUUUUACAUGUGAUUAAAUUCAAUUGAUAAUUUCUUACCAUUCAUAUGUUUGAAAUAAAAUAUUAAAUCACACAAUUAAAUUCAAUUAUGCUGUUUGGAACACCUAUAUAUGAAAUUUAAUUGAAUUAUUCAUUUUGAUUAUUUUAUCCUUAAUUCAGAAUUGCAUUGUACAUCUUCUGUGAAUAAUUUGUUUAUAAACAAAAUAUUACGCCGAGCACCCUCAUAGUGGCCUUCAACAUAGAGUUUUUUUCAAGCCACGUCCUUAGCUUAUCUUGAACAUGACUGAAAAAUUAUUUGUUUAUAUUUUGUAUUUCUGUUAUUAUAUCAUUAAAUAAAAAAUAUUUUUAAAAAAUCAAAGUAUUUAAAAUUUAAUGGAAUCAAUGGUCUGAAUUACAGGUUUAAUAAAUUAAGCCACAAAAUCUAAAUCGAUCUAAUAAAUCACCAUUUUAAUAUUAAAACAAAAACAUCUUAAAUUUUUUCUAAAAUAAAAAAUUCAAAAGGGGCCAUUUAUGAUGAGACCGAGGGAACCAGUGAUUUCCUGCCUUAGGUCAGGAUGUUUUAGCAAUUUCCUUGUUUUUUAAAAAAAAUAUAUCUAUACAUUAAUUAAUCCUUUUAUUUUAAUAAUUGUGACAUCUUGUUUGGAGCAAGCUAACCUAAUUNNNNNNNNNNNNNNNNNNNNNNNNNNNNNNNNNNNNNNNNNNNNNNNNNNNNNNNNNNNNNNNNNNNNNNNNNNNNNNNNNNNNNNNNNNNNNNNNNNNNACUUUGGUAAAAGUGAAUUUAAUGUUUGCUAGAAUAAUCGAAUCCAGAAGCAUAUAAUCAUAACGCAUUGCUUAAAAACUAGAUUAAUUUUAGUGCAAGAACACAUCAUGAAAUUAAAUUCAUAAAUUUCAGCAUACAUUAUCUCAUUAAUUAUGACCAUGUAUUUUAUUUUUUGUUUUUUUUAUUUAAUUUUCAUGCGACUUAUAUCAAAUAUUAUCAUGUUAAUUUAAUUGCUUCAAGAACAGACCCAGACCCUCAAAAGAAAAAGAAAUUAGAGAAUAUUAAAAAUAAUUUUAUAAAAAUUAAAAAAAAAUAAAAAAAAUAAAAAAACUAUUACUAAACUCACAAACAUUUAAAAAAAGAAAUUGCAUUGUAAAGAAAAUCACGUGGAAUUAAUUGCGCCCGCCCACGCCGCGCCGCGCCCCCCCCCCCCCCGUGUCAGCACUCGGCACUGUUCUCCUCGAAUGAUAUUUUCUAUCAACAUCGGUCAAGCAUGUACGUCUACAUCCUUUGCGGCACACGUACUUUAUAUCACAAAUGGAACCCAUCUAGUUUUCUUUCUUCAAUAUUAAUUUCUAUUUUAUUUUGUGGUGUUUAAAAAAAUACUAAAAAUAAUUUUAGUAAUUUCAAUUCUAGAAUAAGAAUGCAUUUUUUGAGCUGAAAUUAUCUUUUUAUUUAUUUGAUAAAUUCAUGAAUUUUUUAUCAAUAGUAAAGACAUUAAAAUGAGAAUUCCUAAGAAUUCAAAUUAUUUAAAUUUAGAAGAAAAGGAUGUAUUUGCUUUUAAGCUAAAACUUUAUUUUUUUCAUUCAUUUAUCAAAAUUUAUUUUAAUGAAAAAUAUUGUUUUAUUAAAAAUCUAGUUUUUUAUAUAAAAACUUAUACUGAUAGGUGAAUCAAUUUUUAACAAAGAAAUACUAAAACAAAAUCUUGAUUUUUUUUUGUGACCGCAAUAAAAAUAAAAGAAUAAUUAAUUCAAUAAAAUAAUAAAAAUUAACAAUAAAAAAUAAAAAAUAUAUUUUAUUCUCAUUGAAUAUUCAUGCAUAUUUUCUUAAAAUAUUAUACAUAUUAGUUCCAUAUAUAAUUAUGAAUUCUUUGCAUUUAUAACCAUAAAAAUCUCAAAUCUUAUUUAGAAAAUACUAGAUCAUUGGUUUGCCCUAUAUUGUUGGUUGAAUCAAUUUUUUUUAAUAUAAAAAAAAUAUUCAGACAUUACUAACUUGUUUUCUAGUAUAAAAAAAAAUUAAUUGUGUAGAGGUUGACCUGAUAUGACUCUUGUCACUUUGACAAGUCAAAAAACAACCAGAACGACAAAUAAAAAUAUUAUUUAAUUUGAAAAAAAAUCAUGCACAAUUUUCUUAAAAACAACUUCGUGAUGAUAAUAUAUUAGAUUGACCCGGGCCAACCUGUGCUAACAUGCUAAAGCCACGAUAUAAGUCAUGAGACUAUGAUGACCACAUGAAAGUAAAUUAAAACAAAUUAUGAAGUUCAAUUCAUAUUCAACUCAAUGUUGAAUGAUGAGAUUAAAAAAAAAUAUUCAAUUAAAAAUAGGACCCAAAAAAGGCUCCAUUUAACCCGGGUUAACUCAUUAACCUGCAACUCGAAUCAUAAGACUGAGGUAACUUUAUAGAAAAUAAACUAAAACAAACUAUGAAACUUAAUUCGCAAUCAAUAUAAUGUUGAAAGAUGAAAUUAAAAAAAAAAAAAAAACUUGAGUCAACCAACCAAACAUGCAAGGCCAAGCCCCUGAGUUGACCUUUCUCUCUCUCUCUUUUUUUUUUUAAUAGAGAGAUGACAUGUUGCCCACUCAUUCUUGUCAUUGAAUUGAAAGUGCAUGGAAAGUUGGGGUUCGAUGUUUAAAACCUCAAAACUCAUUCUUCAAUCAUAUGUUUUCACACGAGGAACACACUAACAACCUUAAUAAACCCAUUUCAAAUCUCAAGAUACCCUUAAAGCAAUCAAAAAAAUAAAAAAUUAAAUCAAAUAAGACUAAUAUCCUAUUUAUUUUUCAAUGAGAUGAAGUUCAAAAACAUCUCAUCAGCACUGCUCUUAUCAAGAAGAACACAAUAACACCAAGAUUGAUUUUUAUUUAUUUAGAAUCACUUAUUUUUAUCAUUCAUGUAUUUUUUUUUAAAUAAAUAAAUUGCAAAAGCUGUCGUGUUUAUUUAUUUUUAUUUUUUAAAAUCACUUGUUUUUAUCAUGCUUGUAUUUUUUAAAACUAUCAUAUCAUAUGCAGUCAAAAUUAAUAAAAACUUUAUUUAUUUAUUUAUUACUAAAAAAUUGUUUGAGGGACUCGAAUUAUUAAAAUAAAAUAAAAUAUUAAAGUUUAAGAUCUAAGUUAUGAUUGAUCCAAAGUUAAGAAUAAUUUUAGAUAAUUUAAUUGCUGACACCUACGUACAUUUCAUUUGGAGGAAACGACUAAAGACUAGGAUGAAGGUUAAUUUUCUCCAUUUUCUAGUUUCAAGGAUAUAUGGUAUUUGUUUUCUUUUAUUUUUAUUUUCUUUCCCAAUAGUAUCACAAAAGGAAAAUUAAUUACAGUUAAAUAAGAGAUUUACCAAUUUUUGAUUAAAAUUAAACAUGCAAAACACCGUUAAGCCUUCAAUUAAAGCCUGUUUAAUAUUAUGAUAAUGAUUAUUUUUUAAAGUGUUUUUCGUUUAAAAAUAUAUCAAAAUAAUUUUUUAUAAAACAAAUUGACAUCAAUAUAUAAAAACGAUAUAAAAACAAUAAAAAAAUUAAUUUAAAUUAAAAAAAUUAAAAAUAAAAACGAAUCUUUUUAAAAGAUAGAAACAUCUUCAACCAUCUAUUAGUAAAAUGAGCCCUUAUAACUAUGGGCUAAUUGAAACUGAGCUUAUGGAAGUUUCUUCUUCGGAUUCAAGCUUAAGACGCCGAGUUUUUUAUUUUCUUUUUCAAGCCAAUAGUAUCACAAAAAAGAAAUUAAUUACAGUUAAAUAAAAUAUUUACCAAUUUUCAAAUAAUUGAACAUGCAAAACAUCGCUAAGCCUUUAAUUAGAGUCUGUUUGGUAUUGUAUAAAUAAUUAUUUUUCAAAGCACUUAACUUAUAAUCUGACUUAAUGGUAAAUACUUAUGCAACCGACCGAUAAUUUACUGUGAUUUGUGCAACCAUCCUAUAAUGAUUCAUUAGAAUCUUUCAAAAGAUUAAAAAAAAAAAAAAAACUAGUCGCGUUCGUGGAAGUUGAGUUAUGUUGAGAUUGAGGGGGGGUGGUUGUUUGUUGUAGAAAAAAAUGGACAAGGAAGAAGUAGAAAUGAGGGGAGGGGGAGGAGAGUCGAGUGCUAGGUCAUAAAUUAAAUAUUAUCGACAUAAUUAUUCUAAUGGUAACUCUGUCGGUAGAAAUAUCACGUCAUCAUAUGAUUUUCCUUCUUGAGUCCUUUGUAAUAACCUCCGUAAUGUCGUUGGUAUAUAUCGACGAAAGUUUUUCGUUAAGAUAUUCAUGGAUGAAUUUUACCAUCGAAAUAAUUUUGUCGGUAACGUCGUAUGUAGAACUUACACGUCAUCGUAUUGCUUGUCUUUUUUUUAUUUCUUCUUUUCCCACUGCGAUUCUCUCGGUAUAUACCAUAAGAAUAUUUCUAUUUGUAUUUAUCAAUGGAUUCAACGAUAAAAAAAAUUCGGUCAGUAAAUAUUAUUGCAAUAUACUACUAACAGAAAAAUUUUAUCGGUAUUUUUGUUUGUAUUUAUCAAUACAAUCUUCUCUUUUGUUUUGGAAGCAAAUGUUUUGACCUGUCAUUACUUCCACAAUGUGUUGGAGUAUGAGAUAGGAAAUGAUGCAGAGCUUUGGCAAAUCAUGAACUACGCAAGAAAAUUAAUUUUUUCGUGUCCCAUGGUCUCUCUCUUCUUCUAUAGCGUUUUAUGGUCUAACAUUGAAAUGGCUGGACUUGGUGGCACACCAAUUCCAUCAGCCGCUAUAGUCAGCCAUUGCCCACUCUCUCCCCAUGUUUGUUUCUUUAGUAUUUUUUAUGCUUGGUUAAAUGUAAAUUAAUACAUACAUCUCGACACCGUUGUGACAUGGUGGAAGGUAUUUUACUAACUUUCUUCCCUGAAACAUCUUCUUUUUGGAUUUAAGAAUGAUUAAGCCAGAGGUUUGUGUAAUUGGUAGAGCUGUGUUCUUCCUUUUCUCUUCGUCAAUGACAACCAAGUAUGCAAUCCUGCUGUUUUGCUUUCAGUUUUUUUUCCUUCUAAAAUCAAAUAAUGGUUUGUUUUGAUUAGAAUGCAAUCUCAUGUAGUGACGGUUAUCCUGGACUGUGUUCCGGGAAAAAGUGGCCUCCUUGAAAGAAAGGGUGGGCACUCGUGUUUCAACUCCACUAUACUAUUAAUAGUUGUGGUGUGUACUUACAGCCUCUACGAUAAGCAAGUGAAUGGCGCCGGUGCGUGGCGAACGGAACACUUCAUCAAACCAUUUCUCGCCGUGACCCCAAAAUAGGAAGAGAGGUACUUUACAAAUAGGGGCUAAUUGCUUCGCACCUGACUGCCCUCUCGAUACCUUCUCAGAGCUUUGUAACUAGUGGCCAGGUCGCUGUUUUCCCAGUGCGCGGAGCCCCGGCUGUUUAGCAAAGAGUGAAAGAACUCACAGGUGUUUACAUUUUCACCUUUUUAGCAUAGUUUUCGAACCCUGCAUAGCGGUCAACGCGGGGCUGGAAUUAGGUUAAAUUGAAGAAAAAAUAAAAGAAAAAAAACUUGGUAUGAUUAGAUAAGAUCCGGUAAAAAAUCUAAUUAUAAUUCAUUGACUUUUAUUUUUGUCUAAAACAAUAUCGUUUUUAUUUAAAAAAAUAAUUAAUCUGAAUAACUCGAUUAAAAUCUAAAAUUCAGAUACCAUAUCUUAAAAUUAUGGUUUUUGGUUUGAUCUUUUUAACAAAUCGGCUAUCUUUAACACGUGGCUGACGACACCAAUUGAAGCUAGUGGGUUCAACUUUGACAUGAGACCCAUUGGUGAAAUGACUUGCAGAAAACAAACGCUGAUUGUUCGGCUGCAGAAAGUGGUCAUGUCUAGGAUGAUCAUGCCAAAUCAAAAGGUACAUGCCAAAUCAUGUACCCGGACUUUCCCUAUAUGAAAAUCAGGACGCGUGGCAUUUUUAUCACCAUCAAUCUCAUAUACUCCCGAGCUAUCAAAGACCUCAAUAGCCAACACUCAUUCAUUUUUAAUUUAAAAAUAAAAAAUUUCCUUCAGCAGCAUAUGUGAGGAUCCAAUAUUUCAAUAAACAUCCUGGUUAAAUCAACACUCAAUAUGAUAUUUGCAUCGUUAGCAUCCAAGAUGAACAAACCAACACCAAUUAGGGAAAGAAAUAUUUAUUAAUGAUCAUUAAUUUGCAUACAGAAGGAUUCAUUAUAUCAACUCUCCUUGCCAGUACGUACAGUACUCUCUAUUGCCCACUUGUGCUCGUGAUUUCCAGUACUUCCAUCAUCAACAUGAUAUAUAUCCUGAAAUUUAUAUGUAAGCGAAAGAGAAAAAACAUGGUCAGUCUAAAUCCAGAGAGAUCACAAGAUUGUCAGAAAUUAAGAGAAAGAAAUAAUUAAUUAUAAAACAAAACUCAAAUAUAGUCUAUAUUGAUAGGAGGUACAAGAAGGAAGGGAGAGUAUUUCUAUGAAAGAAACAUAUCUUUUUCUGUAUGUUCUACAGUUUCUCUAUAAAUAAAAAUAUUAAUGUGGUAAAAACAUAACCAUUUAACAUGAUAUAACCACAAAUCGUAAGAUUUGAAAGAAGAGAAUUAUCAAAAAGUAAAAACAAAAAAAAAAAUUGUAUUCUUUUCCUUAAAAAACGUACCGUGGACAAUAUUAUGCAUGAUCAAACAUGCAUCACUUGGGAGGUUUGCAGUGGCCCGAUCCAGGCAGAAAACUGCAAGGAUUAGGUCCUGAUGGCUGAACAGGACGGUUACUUUGUGAAGAAUACAUGCUGCUUGCUCGGAAUUUUGGUUGCUUGGAGGUUGCAAUCACAGGAGUAACACCGGCCACAAGGAUCAGAAACAAAAGUAUGGUGGAUAUUUUUGACACAAGAAAGAGAGGUCUCUUGAAGAUACUCA